UGUGGGAACAAUGUGACUUUUAAGUAUCUGCACUAUAUCACAGCAAGUUGCAGCAAAGCCUAGAGAGACAUGCCAAAUUGAAUGCUAGAGAGUUGGAAUUAAAUGGUACUGCUGUGUAUGGCAUAAAUCAGUUCUCUGAUUGGACACCAGAAGAAUUUAGAGGAUUUCUUAAAAGAGGGAUACAGGAAGAUCAUGUCCUUUUUGCUAAUGAUGCCAUGACACCUUCUGGCUGUUGUACACUAGAGCUGAAUUCUUCCAAUACACCACCUAAUCGUGACUGG